rnacentral:lncRNA from 1 species
UUAUAUUUCUGGUGUGAUUUUCAAUUAUAACCUAAGCGUCUAUUUAUAGAAAAAUACUAGAACACCAAUGUUAACAAAUGAACCAACGGAGGCUUUUUUUCUCUGCAACAUGCUAUCUUUGAAGCACUUCAUUUUUGAAAACAACUCAGCACACCACAAUUGAUCUCCAGCAAAGAUUUUCCAUAAAAAACAAAAGUGGGUCCCACCCAUAAUUUUAAUAAAAUUAUUUAAUUUCCAAAACUUCC